UGCAAAAAGAAGUUUAAUGACAUCACCAGAGCAGUCAAGGUAAGCCACGUGUUACUUUCCAACAUUUCCUGCCAAUUCUUUAUGGUUCACGCUUUAUUCAAGAUUUUAAAGGAACGAAGAGGUGAAAGUGGGGCUCAAAAGUAAUGAGUUCUGUAGAAUUCAGCCAUGGAUCCUGAAAAUGCUCUAGGAAGAAUAAAGAUGCUGAAGUGGCUUUACAUGUCAAUUAACCUCCAGUGAAGGAUUUGACACAAUGCAUUACUGAUUUUUGGCAGCAUUCCCCAACCAAAAUAACCAUACAAACACAUCAUUGUUUUAAAAGUGGGUACUUUGACAAUUGAACUUGACUUUUUGAAAGGAACAAUUGAAGUGACUGAUGUGAACUUCUGCUGUGACUUGUGGUUGUUUCGACACAGAAUAUGAAAUAUCUGUAAUCUGUCCCUUUUUAUUGACAACUGACGAUUUAUUAACCAGUUUCUUCAGACACAUGUGGAAGUUGGAGACAUUGUUAUUGCACAAACCACAGAGAUUUACAGUCAACCUGGAACCUGUGUACCUGUGAUGAUAAUGGAACUCUCCACAGUUGUACAAGCAAAAAUGAGUUUUCAUUUUAACAUUUAGUUGAUGCUGGUCAUAUUGCAUGUUUAUUCUGCAGGCCAUCUAUUUUCCUCCACCCCAGCCCCACCUGCUAUACCUUAUGCAACAUUUUCUUAUCGUGGAGUUGGGGCAUUGUGAGGCCUCUGAUGUUUCCUCUAUAACAAUUAUGGGAAUGAGAACUGGUGAUGGCAACUUGUUUAAGUUAAUGGUAUCUCACAACAUCUGGGCAGAUGAUUUCCAUUGUGUGUAGUCCAUGUCAGACUUACUUUAAAUAUGCUUGCACUUUUGCUAUGAGGAGGCUUCCUAUCUCCAGUGCAUUUUCUAACCUUAUGCCACAACAAUUACUUUUUCCAUAUAUUGAACCCCAAAAUGUCUUGGAAGGUUGUUUCCUUCUGUUAAAGAGAGGAUGGGGCAAGAACAGUAAUUUGCAUGUGUUUAGUUUUUGGCUAUCAUUAGAUGCUGUUGAAUUGAGUGCUUAAUUUGUUUUGCAUUAUAAUUCAGGCCAGUUUGCUACUUUUCUCGCACUGUGUUUUUGAUCUGGCAGUUCACGAUCACUUGCUUUGCCCGAGUACAUUGGGCUGGAUUGUGCUGAUAGACAGCUCACAGGUUAGUGGAAAACCACCAGCUAUCUGCAGCAUGCACAUCAAAGUAUUCUGUGCUCCCCGUGCCAAUGUUAUUGGAUGUGGGUGCACCUGAUCUCUCACUCAGCCUCUUGACCUGCAUCAUCACAACCAGCAGCAUUUCAUAGCUUAACAUGUCAGUGGGUUAGAUGCACCCUCUACUUUACCUUCCUAGGGUCGCAUAGCCACCUCAUAUGGAUGUGAUUUCAAUCUUAAUUAAUAAGGUAAUUUCAGCCCAGGUUAUUUCUUUGAAUAUUUAUGUUUUUAAUUAUGUGUUUUUAAUUAAAUUAAAUAAAAAAUCACUCGCAGCCAUUUCUAAUUAUCAGAAAUAUAAAAAUAAUUAUAUGGGUGCUUAGUAGCACAAGCUGGCGGAGGGACUAGAGGAACCGGGUCACUACUUAUAACCUGACCUGCUCCGAGUGGGGUUGUGUAAUCAAGGCCUCUGGAUGAUUAUUAGCCACAUGGCUACAAAUCUUAGUACAUCUGUGGGGCAAGAGUGGGUCGUACGUGUGGCUAACUUGUUGAACCAAGUACAGUGGGAGCCCUAGGUGCAUCACAAUGUUAAUCCAGAUGUUUUGAAAGAGAAUACUUGCUGGUGUUUCAAGACUGAUAUGACAAUAUAAAUGUCUAUUUACUAUAUUUUGUUUAGCUCAGAGAUACAGCAUGGAAACAGGCCCGACGGCCCACCGUGUCCACGCCAACCUUCAGUCGCCCGUUCCUACUAGUUCUACAUUAUCCCGUUCAAGCAUCCACUCGCUGCACACUAGAGCCAAUUAACCUACAAGAUCGCUCGUCCUUGGGAUGCGAGAGGGUCACAGGGAGAACGUACAAACUCCACACAGACAACACCCACGGCCGGGAUCAAACCCAGAUCUCUGGCGCUGCAAAGCAACAGUUCUACCAGAUGCACUACGGUGUUGCCUUAUUUACCUCAUCUAACUUUUCAUUCAAACAGAUAUUUGUUUACUUCUGAAAGUAAUUAUUACUUUUUCUAUUUAUUCAUAUUAAAAAUGACAAAUUAAUAUUAAACUCAUUGCCAUCAUGUGUUUGUAGAUAGAUCCAGAGGUCUUGCACAAUAGAGUAACAUCUGUAUUGUUAAUUCAAAACAGACAAAUAUUUACAAAUAGUUAACCUAUUUUCUCUGUACACUGUAUUUUAGGUGUAUAUGUAAUAAACGAAUUAAUGUAAAGUCUGAUUGUUUCUCUGCAAAUUUUUCCAGCGGUGCUUGGGGACAUUGUUUUACUGUGGACAUUUUUCCAUCGGGAAUUCCAUCAAGCUGUCAGUUGCUCAUUUUAUUUAUGUCAUUCAGAAAACAUUGGUCUUCAUAUUUGUGUGUGACUGCCUUCGAACCUGGAUCCCCAAGGACUAAAACCAAUAUCACUUUCAAACCUGUAUAUUACCAUAGGCAGCGAAUGGGUCUUUAUUUAUGUUAAUCGAUAGAUUACACGUUCCAAAAUAAUAUCCUUUUGGGUUACUGUGAUAUGAUUGUAAUAUACAUUUUGACACAGUUGAUGCAUUUUAAAUCGGGAUGGAACUGCAAGAACUGAUGUUUGAUUUAUUUUUAAUCAGUGAUCUGAAAUGCUCUCCAUAUAUUUAAACCACAUUUCAAUAAACUUUCAUAUGUAUUCUCA